GUUCUUCAAAGAGAGAAAAUAAUCCUUGAGGAAAAGCUGAAAAGAGCUUUACAGGAAGCUGAAAAUGCUAAUAAGCAACUUACAAACUUAGCAACAUCUGUCCCUGUUCAAGACACAGAAAUUGUUCAAGAUGCACCCACCAGUUACAAAAAUGCAGAAAAGGAUAAAAAUAAUGAUUCUGACAUUGAUAUGAAAAAAUAUGCUAAAGAUGCAUCUAAGAAGGGCCAAAAAUCAACUAAAACUGAAGGCAGCAGGGAAGAUCAUAUAGUGUCACCAUCCAAGUCCAUUAGUGAAGCUGAUGAAUUAGUACACAAAUUGCUAGCAAAGAACCAAGUGAAACAAGGAAUAAGGAAAAGUCCCGGAGAAAUGGAGGAAACUGAAGAAAUUGCAACACUGUCUCAAAAGAAGGAUGUUAAACUAGGAAAAAAAGGAUUAACAGAGGGAAAGAAGUCUGAAGAUCAUGGUGUUUCAGCAAGCAAGCUAAAAGAAAAAUACCUUUUUCAGGAGCAAGGAGAGUCAUAUAAACCUAAAGAAUUACUUUCUAGCAUGGAAGAGACUCCAAGACUUCCUGCUUAUCCAUCUGGACAGGAAAACAUGCAGUAUUCUUCUAAACAUGCUGAUGAGAAGCCAACAUCACUGUUAUCUGAUAAAACCCAGCAAAUGUCAACAGCAACCAGAGCAAACAGAAAAUCAGAGUCUCCUUUGAAAUUUGACCCCAAAGGACUGGUUACAGCUAAGAAAACGACAGAAGCAAAUGAAGGAGUUUCCCUGGAUAACAGCACAGGGGAGGAUGCAUGUGGCACCACCGAUUCAGAUUUUGUGAACCUUCCAGAAAUCCGAGGAGAGUCAGAGUCACAUUUCUCCUUAAACUGUCAAGAACAAUUAUGGCCCAAACCUUUAAAUGUACACGAAGAUUCACCCCAACUAAUCUCAGAAAGACAGAAGACUGCUAUGUCUGCUAAACCCAGUAUCCGAGGACAAGAUUGUUCUUUACCAUUGUAUGAAAACGAUAUGUUACCAUCAGUUUUACCUUCCAAAUAUCAAGAUGUGGCUCCUCUUAAAAGCUCCCUGACCAAUCAUAAAACAUCUUCUGAAUCUCAGAGUGCUGAAGAAGUUUCUCUUUUCUCUAUUGAAAAGAUACCCACUUCGGAGAUCCAGCAAAAAAUGCCUGCCGUUAUUACUCAAGAAGAUAAAAAGGCGCCUAUGCCAGUUCUUCCUGUCACACACACGACAAACGUAACUUUGGAAACUCACUCACCUGAGGGAGAAAAUCUUCCAUGGACUCAAAAAGAAGAAGUAGAUGUUAAAGAAAGACUUCCAUUAAUAACUCAAAUGAAUAAAAUGCAACAAGCAUCAACACUUUCACUGGCAGAAGCUGGUGUGAACACUGGGAAGAAAACAAUUGAGCUUUUGCACAGUAUGCUUGCUAAGCUGUCACCAGGUGUAGAAGAUCUGCAAGACAUAGAAGCUUUUGAAGACAGUGAAAUAGACAGCAUUACUGAGGAUAGAUUAAAUAAGCUACCAAAACUUCUUGGAAGCUUGGAGUCAAAUCUGAAAGACCUGCAGGAAGCACUGGCUCUGACAGAUGACCAAACAAGCAAUGUAAGUGAAAGUUGUGGAUAUGAGCUAAAAAGGAUUUUAGCUGCAAGUCUGGAAGCAAAACUGAAAGACCUGCAGCAAGUGGAGGCUUUCAUAGCAGAUCAACUAGGCAUACAUGGGUCUGAUGAAAAGCAACUAUAUGACAUCCCACAAACAAGACGACUUCUAUUGUCAAGUUUGGAACCAACUCUGAAAGACCUGCAAAUGGCAGAGGCUAAUAUAAUUAGUCUGCCAGACAGCAUAAAUGAGGACAGACUGAAGGAAUUAAUCAACCAAAAAAAUAUUUUGCUGUCAAGUCUGGAAAAAAAUUCACAAGAUUUGCAACAAGCACAGGCUAUUGUAGUAGACCAAGACGACAAAUACAGAUUUUAUGAGAAAAAAAUGCAGGACCUAACAGAAAAAAGAAAGCUUUUGCUUACCAGCCUGGAAUCGAAUUGGAGAGAUUUGCAACAGACUCAGGCUCUGGAUGCCAGCCAACUUCAUGACAUGAAUGAUAAUUGCUUUGGCAGCAAUUCUGAUUUUUUUGAAAGAAAAUCAGAGGUGACUGGAAAACAGCCUCUAAAUAGUAGAACUUUGCAGCUAGAAUGUAUUCUUUCAGCACUUCCACUUGAUCAAGACAGAAGCUUUGAAAUUUUUGCAGUUGUUAGCACUGAAAGAAAGAAUCCUGCUUCCAAAUCUUCCAUCAGCUCUGCCAUGUGUUCAAAGUGCAGACAAAUCCAUUGGAAGGACUAAAGAAACUUUGAUAGUUAUCAUCUCUGAUACCAGAAAAAGAGGCAAAAGAGUCGGAAUUCCAGCUCCACUAUGGCUGAAAUAUUGAAAUGCCUCCAAAGAUUAAACUCUGGGAUGUUCAAGAGCAACUGCAUGCCCGGAGUAAUUGCUGCUUCUCCUCAUUUUUUUACUCUGUGUUGUUGGGUUUGGUAUCCUUAGCUCUGAGUAGCCUUACUGCCAGCCUUUCAGAUUUAUGAUAUUUGCAGACUGUAUGACUAAACUAAAACUAAAAAACAAGUACUUCAUUUGCUGCCAGGCAGACAGUCCUAACCUGCUGGUACUGAAAUACAUGUUACUAAAC
ensembl:lncRNA